GCAUCUGCUUCUUCCCCGCGAUGCACCCCACCCCAAUCACACUGGUAAAAAAAGGCAAUCCAAUUCUUCAUCUAUUCAAGUCAAGCGGCGCCUCGACCUUCCCUUGCAACUACCCAGGCGGCGAUUGAACGGGGUUGUGACCCGGCCACGACCCAGGUCGACGUGCCGUCGUUCCCGACCCUCGAUCUGGAUCGAUCGGCCCUGGGUCGUCGAACGCGCCAUCGAUCCCGUUUCCGGCUACGACGGCCGUGCAUCCCAACGCCGCCCGCCCGACCGUCUCCGUGAAGCUGCUGUGCCGCCGUCGUCGCUAGGCAGAUGCAGCCGCCUCCCGAUUGAUUUUCCUAUCUUUGCAGUUUGGAUCAGGGAGUAGGUCUCACCUACGUAUGUGGGAUUGAGGGCCAGGAGGUUUUCUUUUCAGAAAAUUGUCGGGCAAGCUGUAAUAAAAGGGGAAUAUGAGUGGUUCUUAUGGUAUGCUCGUAACUGAAUUGAACAUGACUGUGGUCUAGUCCAUUAGAUGCUUAUAACUUGACCCUUGUGUCAUUCAAAGUUUACUAAUUGCCAGUAUUUCAUGGAUAUAUAAAGCAUUACUGGGCACACGGCCUAGAGGAACUCAAGUGAACAACAAAGCUAACAGGGUAUUAGCGAUGACGACGCUCUGAAGUUGUGAGACUUGCACAAUUGUGUUCCAAUGAAGGAUGUUGCUGCAAUAUUAUGAACGGGCCAAGUUAUCACAAAAUGUCUUAUAUGAUCUGUUUUAGAUGUCGCUUACAUUAGAUAUGAUUUAUCUGGUAAAAAUGGUACCAAUAGAAUGAGUGGGUGUUCUUAAAGACCUGCAUUGAUCAUUAGAGCUUGUCAAUGUUCCGGUGUAAGUUAAAUAUCUUAGAAGUAUUUAAACUUUCUGUAAGUGAUCUUUAACUUUGGCUUUGGAGUGAUA